AUGUCUUUAUCAUGGAAUAUAUGUAUAUGUUUCACUUCGUAUAUUAUCAAAUGUAUAUUAUCAAAAGUCUUAUUUCAAUUGCUAAAUUGUUAUAACUCUUCGUUGCAUCUUCAUGUUAAUAGAGGUUAAGUAAAAAUUCAUUUAUGUAUAAGAAGAAUUGUUCACGUACAUAUAUUAUAAAACAAUAUUCCAAUUACGGUUAGGCUAUCGACUUUUUUAAUUGAAUCAUCUAAUAACAUUGAAUGUAUAAGUUGAACUUAGUAAAUUUCGAAAUCUUGAACUAAACCUAUGGCUUUUAAUUCGAGUUAAAAUUAUGACUAGAAAUUGUACCAGAAAUAUCUAUAAUUAAAAAAUAGGCUAUAGCGUAACGAAUGAGAAACAUAUUUGCUGAAACGUAUUUUUCAACAACACUAUCGGCGAAUAAUGUUUCAUCGCUUAUCAUGAUAAUUAUGACAAGGAACGUGUUCGAUUUUUAGAAAUAUCAAGUGUUGAUAAAAUAUUGUUUUUGGUAUUGGUAUUUACUUUUUUUUCAGUAGUAUAAACAAUAACCAAUUGACGUAUGUUACUCGGUCAGGUCAAGUUUCUUGGCUUAGGCUCUUUUAUGAAAGAUUGUCGGUGUGUCUGUGUAUCUUUACGCGGUUGGCGCUUACGUCAAGGGCGACCUCGACUUUCCACCGUCUCUAAUCUGUAUGAGGAUCGUUUGCGAGACAAGCAUUUCAUUUUCACUGUGUAACACUAAAUAUAAACCUUAAGACUUUGUAAUCUCUUUAUGAACACAUCGAACACUUCAUUUUCUCUCUCAUCGACUAUAUUGUCAAUUCACACAAGAAGUGAAUUCACUAAAUGUAUCAGAUAGGAAUCUCAUUCAGUUUAUUGCUCUAUUCUUAUUUAUUUUGGCACUUAAUGGGAUAAGCUUGAUUAAUGAUUAAGUUUUAUUUGUUUACCUGUUCUAAUUUUGAAAAUAAAGUAAAUAUUCUGCAGAUUAUGCUUACAUUAAAGCUGAUAGAUCGUUAUGAUUAUUUUUGUUAAUAUAAAAGUUUUUACUUUUUACUACCAUAUACAUCGUCUCGAUCUUUAAAACCUAAAAUUGCCUAAUAUUUUAAUGCAAAGAUUAUCUAGCUAAGUAUAAAGAAAUAUUAAAAAUCAAACUACAGAUGCUUUAGCUAUUUAUAGUAUAAAUCUGUUACAAUAAAAUACAAUCAGAUGGCUUGAUUGUGGUUUCAAAUGUCAGGAAUCUAAAACUUCCCAUAUUGCAGUAAUAUCGUCCACAUAUUCGUCCUUUUAAAAAGAUAAAUGAUAUAUUGGAAUUCCUGUUUCAAUUUUUCUUGUUAUUUCCACAUGUAAUCCUGGAUCACAAAACCAAAACUCGAAUGAGUAAAAUGCUGAAAAUGGAAAUGGGGUGAUUGAUAGUAAAAGUAAAAAUUGCGAGCAUAUGUAUAUGAACCGGAACGAAUUGGACAGACGCGCAUAGUGAGACAGAGAUAUAGGGGAAAAAAGAGAAAAGUUACGAUGGUAAGGGUAGAUGCAGUGAGACAAGAGCUGACGCGCGGUACAUAAUUGAGAAUCGUUAACGCGUCCUCGAGGGAGAUCGAGCGGCUGGAUUUUGCUAGGUCCUCUCUUACUCUCCGCCGCCGUUACCAUCAGCUUGCCUGCCUCUUCUCGUCCCGGCUUCCUAGCCACGGUGUUGGUGACCUUCAACCGAUCAAGAGUGGAUGGACCUCGUUGGCCAGCGGGCCGAGGUAUAAGGUCAAGGUUGCUGUCGUCGGUGUGCACGGGAUAUGCGACCUCCGGGAUAUGCAUCGAGCGAGAUGCGCGCGCAAUUAGCGCAUGCGCGCCGCCAGCCGGCUUGUCGUGCGUCGCAGCGUGUCGCGCAAGUCAUUGCCAAGGUCUUUGCUGGUCACGGGCAAACCGUUAUAAGUAGCGAUGGACACGAACCGAAAUGCAAUUCUUAGACUAUAUAAUUAAUAUAUAUAUAUUAUUAAAUACUUUUAGAAUAUUGGUUUGAAUUCGAUGAUUGGACAAAUUAUGAAUCUGUAUUGUACAUAAUUUGAAUUUGGUACAAGAUCACGAGGAUUUCGAUCCCAUCGCUAGUCGUAUGUAGCCAGUUGAAACUGAUGCAAAGCCGCCGAUGAUUUUUCCAGGGGAAAAGCAAUUACGAAAGAAAUAAACGCGCGCGUCGCGACGCCUGCGUCACUACACCCGGCGUACAUCCAUGGCCAAGGUUCUCCCCGGUCACGGGCAACCCGUUAUACGUAGCUGGGAGCCAACACUUGCCCGAGGUCGUCCAUGACUAUCUUAUUCGCCCCAAGGCUUGGAAAAAGUUGAUUUCAGGAAGAUCCACCUAAUACGCUAUGAAAAUAUACAACGCAGAGAUGAACAUUAUUUUCAUGCAUACAAAUGAUUUUACCUUGAAUUAAAACAUUCAAAAGAAGAACUUUGUACGUUAAAGGUGAUUCAUCGAGGUAGCCGAAAUUUGGAGCAGUUUCUACAUUGCGUUAUGAUUAAUUUUUGUCGACGCGCGUACGUGCUCCAACUAGACGUCACGUCCUCGUGACCUGUAUGCAGCUGUGUGCCCAUAGUGUACGUCAGUGUAAGCUCAUGCACGUCGUAUCGAGACACGUCAAGGCCAGGACUGUAGAAGCGAGGAUUCACGAUGGAAAAUCACGAUCACGACGACGGAAAAAAUGGAGCUUCUUGCAAAAUUCAGGAGCUGCUGGAGCGGCCGAUAACAAUGCACUUUUCACUGACUCGAGUCUUUGCUAUGAGACGCUGAUUGCGUCAUCUUCCACGUAUCCUCGUGGAUCAAAGAUGUAUUCGAGACGGCGAAACGGCAGAAAUCAUGGUUUUGAGAAAGGAAAAACAAGAAGACACGUUAAGUUGGUGUUUCUUAUCAGUUUCGACGAUUUAUUGGCCAAAUCGUGAACGAAGAUGAAAAAUGGAUAGUACGUGGAGUUUCGUCGAUUUUAUGACAUAGCGAGGCGAGAGUGUACUGGUGUACAGUCGAUUUCACAAAUAGCAUUCCAUAUACGAGAUGCUCCUCUUGAUAUUUAUUUUUGAGGAAGUGUAUCCUUUGAAAUAUUUUUCUCUUUCAUCGACGAUAAAUUAAUCGCAAUUAAAUGUGAGAAAGUUAUGCUUAGAUCGCGAUGAAAUAAUAUUUUGAGGAAUUUCAGCCUCUUUGAAUCAUCGAUUACUUGAUUAUUUAAUUAAUCCCAAUUUGCAUAAUAUCUCUGUAUAAAUUACGCCUAAAGUUUCCUAACUCCUCCUUAAAAUAAAAUAAAAUAUAGAAAGUGAAAUAAAUGCAAGAUAAAAAUAAAAUAGUUGCCAGUUCCAAUAACAACAUGUAGCAAACGCGACAACACCGAGGUUUCAGAACGGCCGGCUCGCAUCGCUAAUCGAGCUGCGCCACGCUCGCUUUAACGUUUUCACGUACGAUCUCUGACGUGUCCGGUGAUUACAUAAAACGGUUCUGCCCUUGUCCCCUCUGGAAUGAUCGAUUGGUCUCGCGUUUUCUGGCCGCGGAUUACCGCGACCGCACGCCUCUAAACGGAUUCUUUGGCGGCCAGCGUGGAAGGUUAUCUGGCCGAGUGUCUUUAUGUACACGUACACUAUCGUUCGUAAGCACUGUACAGUUUACUCAAUUUCUAGCAACGGUAUUCGAAUUUCAUUAAAGUGUUACAAAUUAA